rnacentral:tRNA from 1 species
GGGAGUGUAGCUUAGUGGCAGGGCAUGUGCUUAGCAUGCACAAGGAUCUGAGUUUAUUCCUUAGCACCCCUU